rnacentral:rRNA from 1 species
AGUCGAACGGUAACAGGAAGCAGCUUGCUGUUUCGCUGACGAGUGGCGGACGGGUGAGUAAUGUCUGGGAAACUGCCUGAUGGAGGGGGAUAACUACUGGAAACGGUAGCUAGUACCGCAUAACGUCGCAAGACCAAAGAGGGGGACCUUCGGGCCUCUUGCCAUCGGAUGUGCCCAGAUGGGAUUAGCUAGUAGGUGGGGUAACGGCUCACCUAGGCGACGAUCCCUAGCUGGUCUGAGAGGAUGACCAGCCACACUGGAACUGAGACACGGUCCAGACUCCUACGGGAGGCAGCAGUGGGGAAUAUUGCACAAUGGGCGCAAGCCUGAUGCAGCCAUGCCGCGUGUAUGAAGAAGGCCUUCGGGUUGUAAAGUACUUUCAGCGGGGAGGGAGGGAGUAAAGUUAAUACCUUUGCUCAUUGACGUUACCCGCAGAAGAAGCACCGGCUAACUCCGUGCCAGCAGCCGCGGUAAUACGGAGGGUGCAAGCGUUAAUCGGAAUUACUGGGCGUAAAGCGCACGCAGGCGGUUUGUUAAGUCAGAUGUGAAAUCCCCGGGCUCAACCUGGGAACUGCAUCUGAUACUGGCAAGCUUGAGUCUCGUAGAGGGGGGUAGAAUUCCAGGUGUAGCGGUGAAAUGCGUAGAGAUCUGGAGGAAUACCGGUGGCGAAGGCGGCCCCCUGGACGAAGACUGACGCUCAGGUGCGAAAGCGUGGGGAGCAAAC